GUAUGUAACAUCAUCGCGCGGGAAGACCUUACUAAAACUGAACGAGUAUACUUACCACAAUCAGGCGACCCGUGGUGUCACGCGUGAAGGUAAAACCUCAUGGAGAUGUUCGACACACAAGAGCAAAGGAUGCACAGCAAAAGUGUAUACGUACAACGACGAAGUUAUCGGUAUUAAUGGGUGGCACAACCACUAAUUACAGGGGCUUUGGCUAAGUUGCAAACAUACAUAGUGGAAUUCGUGACGUCCCAAAGAGGGAAGGCUUUGAUAAAGUAUCAGGGAUACACUUACAGUACAACCUCUACGAUCACAGCUCGCAAGAUGAGAUGGGUUUGUUCCACACACCAUCGCCGCAAUAAGUGUCCGGUGGUCCUCUUCACUUACGACAAUGUAAUAAUUAAUAUGAAUCACAAGCAUAAUCAUUAGCACCUAAGUACACCCACUCCAGGAGCGUGGUAAAACAGAUAUGCUCCAUAACUCCUCCGAUUGAUUUAGGGGAGAUCAGGGGCCUUAGUCAAGUAGCAAACAAAUAUGACAUUGACAGUGACAGUGACAAAAAUGUAUGGGAUUGACACAUGGUGUCAGUGACAGUGAUAUAAGUGUAUGGGAAUGACAUGUCACCUUAUCUCACUCCCAUACAUUGUAAUACUGUCAUUGUCAAUUGUUAUAAUUGUUUGCUACUUGGCUAACCACUCUGUAUGUAUUACUUACUGUGUAUUUUCUUCCUGUAUUGAUUAAAUAUUUGAUGAUCUUCUGA